UACGUAGGGUGCGAGCGUUGCCCGGAUUUAUUGGGCGUAAAGCGCACGUAGGCGGCUUUGUAAGUCGGAUGUGAAAUCCCUCGGCUUAACCAAGGAAGUGCAUCCGAAACUACAGAGCUUGAGUACUUAAGAGGAUCGCGGAAUUCCCGGUGUAGAGGUGAAAUUCGUAGAUAUCGGGAGGAACACCAGUGGCGAAGGCGGCGAUCUGGGAAGAUACUGACGCUGAGACGCGAAAGCGUGGGGAGCGAACAGG
rnacentral:rRNA from 1 species